GGCGUCUGCUCUUCCGUUCCAGCAUCAGACGCAGACACGCCGCUCGCCCCGUUCGCAGACGCAGGAGGACCCGCAGGUCCUCCCAUGUCCACAGACGCAGGAGAGUUGUCCGACGCAGACGCUAGGCAACGCCGAUAAACAUG